UGGGGAAUUUUGGACAAUGGGCGAAAGCCUGAUCCAGCAAUGCCGCGUGUGUGAAGAAGGCCUUCGGGUUGUAAAGCACUUUUGUCCGGAAAGAAAUCCUUGGCUCUAAUACAGUCGGGGGAUGACGGUACCGGAAGAAUAAGCACCGGCUAACUACGUGCCAGCAGCCGCGGUAAUACGUAGGGUGCAAGCGUUAAUCGGAAUUACUGGGCGUAAAGCGUGCGCAGGCGGUUUGCUAAGACCGAUGUGAAAUCCCCGGGCUCAACCUGGGAACUGCAUUGGUGACUGGCAGGCUAGAGUAUGGCAGAGGGGGGUAGAAUUCCACGUGUAGCAGUGAAAUGCGUAGAGAUGUGGAGGAAUACCGAUGGCGAAGGCAGCCCCCUGGGCCAAUACUGACGCUCAUGCACGAAAGCGUGGGGAGCAAAACAGGAUUAGAUACCCUGGUAGUCCACGCCCUAAAACGAUGUCAACUAGUUGUUGGGGAUUCAUUUCCUUAGUAACGUAGCUAACGCGUGAAGUUGACCGCCUGGGGAGUACGGUCGCAAGAUUAAAACUCAAAGGAAUUGACGGGGUC
rnacentral:rRNA from 1 species